rnacentral:rRNA from 1 species
AUUGGACGCUGGCGGCAUGCCUUACACAUGCAAGUCGAACGGCAGCAUGGAAGAGCUUGCUCUUCUGAUGGCGAGUGGCGAACGGGUGAGUAAAGCAUCGGAACGUACCGUGUAGUGGGGGAUAACGUAGCGAAAGUUACGCUAAUACCGCAUACGCACUGAGGUGGAAAGCAGGGGAUCGCAAGACCUUGCGCUAUACGAGCGGCCGAUGUCAGAUUAGCUAGUUGGUAGGGUAAAGGCCUACCAAGGCGACGAUCUGUAGCGGGUCUGAGAGGAUGAUCGGCCACACUGGGACUGAGACACGGCCCAGACUCCUACGGGAGGCAGCAGUGGGGAAUUUUGGACAAUGGGGGAAACCCUGAUCCAGCCAUGCCGCGUGAGUGAAGAGGGCCUUCGGGUUGUAAAGCUCUUUCGGCUGGGAAGAAAUCGCACAGGCUAAUACUCUGUGUGGAUGACGGUACCAGCAUAAGAAGCACCGGCUAACUACGUGCCAGCCGCCGCCGUAA